rnacentral:lncRNA from 1 species
UGAAAACCAAUUAAAUCUCCUAUAUCCUUAUAGAUCUUUGUUUUGCAAAAUCAAGUUCCUUGAUAUAAUGUUUUUUGUGUCCCUGUUUGGAUUCUCCUGCAACCAAAGAAACAAAAGACUGUUUGGAUUCUCCUGCAACCAAAGAAACAAAAGACUGACAUGAACUACUUUGGCAUCUUAUCCUGAUAUAAUCACAACCUCCUGCAAAAUUAAAAACCCAAACACUUCUUAGGUAUGAGCAUUGAUAAAUCUCAAAACAUGUGAACCCAUUUGCACCAUUUUCUUGGCCAAAAGAGAUGACUUGGAAUAGCUUAAUACAAUUCUACCUCCAUUACAAUAAUCAUCUGUCCAUACUCCAUACACUGAUAUACCAGAGUAUAUAACAGAGAUUGACGUGACCCUGAAACCACUCAGACUUUCAUGAAAACCGAUUCAAAAUCUGGUGAUACAAUACGUAAAAAGAACGAUCAGACUUUCAAUUCCAUACAUUUAUACUUAAUGUUACAAAUAUAGUCCAUAAUGACACCAAAAGAGCACACAUCCAAAGUAACAACAAAGAAGAAGAAAGCUUUCUAAGAAUAACAUCAUAUAUUCUCAAAAUUAUACUUUUCCUGUGCGGACCUAUACGAAUCAUGUCCAUGUUCCAAAAUAUAAAACCGUAAGACCAUAAUACCAUCCUUUCACAUUCCCAAAGUCUACAAUAAAAUUCCUCCGAUUUUCUACUAUCUCCUAAGAACCCAAAUCGGUUAAUGAUAUCGUUAGCCGGAUCUGUGGAAUCAACCCUUGAUUGAGUCCUGUAGACUUUUAAUUUGACGUACGAUAAAUACGAACCUUUGAUACUUUCCCGAAUCCACUCUCCAAUAUCUACACAUCUCUACUUUUCUCAUAUAAUUUUUCAGAAAUUUUCCCAUAAUCUCACAUCGCAAUUCAGGAUCUCUGUCUUCUUCUCCUUCAGUCCUUUGCCUCCCUUUAGUUUCCGUAAGAUCCCGAGUCGCCUGGAAAAAUCACAUCUCCUCAAGAUCCAUUAUAUCACCAAUAAACCAAAAUAUCUUGCCUACGAAUCCGGUAAAUUAACUACACGCGGAGAAAGAUUCAACAAAAUAAUGAGAUAGUU